UUUGUAAACCAAUCCAAUUAUAACACACUUCACGUCUUAAUUUGUAAGCCAAUCGGAUUUUAGCAUGUGUCAAUUUUUCAUCAUCAUAUCAUAUUACAUGUUAGGGUUACGGGUUCAAAUAUAAUUUGAUGUAUUUUUAUCCUAUUGGCUUAUUUCAUUUUUAUCUGCUUAUUUCAUUCAUACAUUGUUACUAAAUUCAAAAAAGUUGUCUUGGCACCAAACUACGAAAACAUAUUUGAGAUCAAUCAUCCCAGUCAAAAAAUCUUGGAGCAUAAUCGUGCAAAUUUUAUAAACCGUGACACAACCUUUUUCAUUGGAUAUGGUUGUGCUGCAUAUGAAUCCCCAUGUAAACAAUAGAAAACAUGUUUUAUGCGGAUAAUUGAUUCUAUUUAUCGGUGCAUCAUAUCCACUUGGGCUUUAUUUGCGAGUUUGGAGGAGGAGAAGAGAGGGAGAGUUUAGAAAAAAAGGAGGAGCAAGUGAAAGAAAUAGAAGACAUUGGGAGGAGAGGGUUUUGGGAGGGUCAUUUUUCUUCACAAUACAAAAAUCUCAUCACUUGGGAAAACUCAAAAAUUGUAUUGGAGAAGGGUUUUAAGGGAUUUUGGAGGGUUUAUAUGAAUUCUUCAAAUUUAAUCUUUGUUAUAAUAUUUUAAAAUUAAAAAUAUAUUAAUUAUAAGCAUCAAUUUAUUAAAAAAAAUUGCUCUUUCAAAAAAUAUGAAACAUUUCUCCAUUUUCUCCAAUAUUUUCCACCUUCCUAAGCCCUCUCCUCUCCUCCCCUCCCCUGCAAACUAAGCCUUAGAGUGUGUUUGGAUGAGGUAAUUGAUAAAUUUUAAAGAAUUUAAAAUAUUAGGCAAUUCAAAUGAAUCAAUUAAAUUACUUUCAUUUCUCAAUAUUUUUGUUUGGAUGGAGUAAUAAAAAAUUCCAUUGUCAUCAUUUUGAGAAACUUUUAUAAAUUGAAUUUUGUUUGGGCCAAAUUUAAAAAUUGAAAUUAA
rnacentral:lncRNA from 1 species